rnacentral:rRNA from 1 species
CCUACGGGCGGCAGCAGUGGGGAAUAUUGCUCAAUGGGGGAAACCCUGAUGCAGCGACGCCGCGUGAGUGAUGAAGGUUUUCGGAUUGUAAACUCCUUUUGGUAGAGAAGAUAAUGACGGUAUCUAACGAAUAAGCACCGGCUAACUCCGUGCCAGCAGCCGCGGUAAUACGGAGGGUGCAAGCGUUACUCGGAUUCACUGGGCGUAAAGAGCGCGUAGGCGGGAUAGCAAGUCAGAUGUGAAAGCCGAUGGCUUAACCCUAGAACUGCAUUUGAAACUGUUAUUCUAGAGUGUGGGAGAGGUAGGUGGAAUUCUUGGUGUAGGGGUAAAAUGCGUAGAGAUUAAGAGGAACACUAGUUGCGAAGGCGACUUGCUAGAACAUAACUGACGCUGAGGCGCGAAAGCGUGGGGAGCAAACAGGAUUAGAUACCCGUGUAGUC